rnacentral:rRNA from 1 species
GACGAACGCUGGCGGCGUGCUUAACACAUGCAAGUCGAACGGAAAGGCCCUGCUUUUGUGGGGUGCUCGAGUGGCGAACGGGUGAGUAACACGUGAGUAACCUGCCCUUGACUUUGGGAUAACUUCAGGAAACUGGGGCUAAUACCGGAUAGGAGCUCCUGCUGCAUGGUGGGGGUUGGAAAGUUUCGGCGGUUGGGGAUGGACUCGCGGCUUAUCAGCUUGUUGGUGGGGUAGUGGCUUACCAAGGCUUUGACGGGUAGCCGGCCUGAGAGGGUGACCGGCAAAAUGGGAAAGAGGAAAGGGCCAAAACGACAAGGGGGGGAAGAGGGGGGAAAAUUUGAAAAAGGGGCGGAGACUGAAGGAAGAAACGCCGGGGGGGGGAGGAGGGCUUUGGGGUUGAAAACCGCUUCGCCGGGGAAGGAGGGGGAGGGAAGGUAAAGGGGAAAAAAGCAACGGCUAAAUAAGGG